GCAUAUCAAUAAGCGGAGGAAAAGAAACCAACCGGGAUUGCCCUAGUAACGGCGAGUGAAGCGGCAAGAGCUCAAAUUUGAAAGCUGGCUCCUUCGGGGUCCGCAUUGUAAUUUGCAGAGGAUGCUUCGGGAGCGGUCCCCAUCUAAGUGCCCUGGAACGGGCCGUCAUAGAGGGUGAGAAUCCCGUAUGGGAUGGGGUGCCCGCGCCCGUGUGAAGCUCCUUCGACGAGUCGAGUUGUUUGGGAAUGCAGCUCUAAUUGGGUGGUAAAUUUCAUCUAAAGCUAAAUAUUGGCCGGAGACCGAUAGCGCACAAGUAGAGUGAUCGAAAGAUGAAAAGCACUUUGAAAAGAGAGUUAAACAGCACGUGAAAUUGUUGAAAGGGAAGCGCUUGCGAUCAGACUCGCUCGCGGGGUUCAGCCGGCCUUCGGGCCGGUGUACUUCCCCGCGGGCGGGCCAGCGUCGGUUUGGGCGGCCGGUCAAAGGCCCCUGGAAUGUAACGCCUCUCGGGGCGUCUUAUAGCCAGGGGUGCCAUGCGGCCUGCCCGGACCGAGGAACGCGCUUCGGCUCGGACGCUGGCAUAAUGGUCGUAAGCGACCCGUCUUGAAACACGGACCAAGGAGUCUAACAUCUACGCGAGUGUUCGGGUGUCAAACCCGUGCGCGCAGUGAAAGCGAACGGAGGUGGGAACCCCUCGGGGUGCACCAUCGACCGAUCCUGAUGUCUUCGGAUGGAUUUGAGUAAGAGCGUAGCUGUUGGGACCCGAAAGAUGGUGAACUAUGCCUGAAUAGGGCGAAGCCAGAGGAAACUCUGGUGGAGGCUCGCAGCGGUUCUGACGUGCAAAUCGAUCGUCAAAUUUGGGUAUAGGGGCGAAAGACUAAUCGAACCAUCUAGUAGCUGGUUCCUGCCGAG
rnacentral:rRNA from 1 species